GAUGAACGCUGGCGGCGUGCCUAACACAUGCAAGUUGAGCGUGAAGUUUAUAUUGAUUCUUCGGAUGAUUUAUAAAUGGAAAGCAGCGGACGGGUGAGUAACGCGUGGAUAACCUGCCCUAUACUCCAGGAUAACAUACCGAAAGGUAUGCUAAUACUGGAUAAUAUACAUUAGUCGCAUGGCUUUUGUAUCAAAGAUUACGGUAUAGGAUGGAUCCGCGUUCCAUUAGCUAGUUGGUGGGGUAAAGGCCUACCAAGGCGACGAUGGAUAGCCGACCUGAGAGGGUGAUCGGCCACACUGGAACUGAGACACGGUCCAGACUCCUACGGGAGGCAGCAGUGGGGAAUAUUGCACAAUGGGCGAAAGCCUGAUGCAGCAACGCCGCGUGAGCGAUGAAGGCCUUCGGGUCGUAAAGCACUUUCAGUCGUGAGGAAGGUGUGUUAA
rnacentral:rRNA from 1 species